rnacentral:rRNA from 1 species
GAUGAACGCUGGCGGCGUGCCUAAGACAUGCAAGUCGAGCGAACGGACGAGAAGCUUGCUUCUCUGAUGUUAGCGGCGGACGGGUGAGUAACACGUGGAUAACCUACCUAUAAGACUGGGAUAACUUCGGGAAACCGUAGCUAAUACCGGAUAAUAUUUUGAACCGCAUGGUUCAAAAGUGAAAGACGGUCUUGCUGUCACUUAUAGAUGGAUCCGCGCUGCAUUAGCUAGUUGGUAAGGUAACGGCUUACCAAGGCAACGAUGCAUAGCCGACCUGAGAGGGUGAUCGGCCACACUGGAACUGAGACACGGUCCAGACUCCUACGGGAGGCAGCAGUAGGGAAUCUUCCGCCAUGGGCGAAAGCCUGACGGAGCAACGCCGCGUGAGUGCUGAAGGUCUUCGGAUCGUAAAACUCUUUUAUUAGGGAAGAACAUAUGUGUAAGUAACUGUGCACAUCUUGACGGUACCUAAUCAGAAAGCCACGGCUAACUACGUG